rnacentral:pre_miRNA from 1 species
UGUUGCUGAUGCUGUUGAUGUUGAAGAUGAAUAUGAUAAUGUUAACAAUAUUGUUUUAGAGCUGCUCUCACAAUGCUGCUGCUGCUGCUGCCUUCUGCUUCAAUCAUUAUCAGCAUCUUCAUCAUCAUCACCAUCA